AGCCUUUAGCGCAACAAGUAUUAAAGGUGAUGCCUGCCCAGUGAUUUUUCAACGGCCGCGGGAUCCUACACCGUGCAAAGGUAGCAUAAUCACUUGUCACCUAAAUAGUGACUAGUAUGAAUGGCCCCAUGAGGACUUCCCUGUCUCUUGUAACCAAUCAAUGAAACUGAUCUUCCAGUUCAAAAGCUGGAAUAAACCCACAAGACGAAAAGACCCUGUGGAACUUUCAAGUGUCAACCAAUAAUAUGAUAAAACACUUUUAGUUGGGGCAACUUUGGAACAAAACACAACUUCCAAUUAUCUGGGACACCCAUAUUAUACCUAGACCAAGGUCUACACACCUAACCCUUCCCAAAUUUUCGACCCAGCACCGCUGAUUAAAGAAACAAGCUACCCCAGGGAUAACAGCGCCAUCCCCUCUUAGAGUCCCAAUCGACGAGCGGGGCUUACGACCUCGAUGUUGGAUCAGGGCCCCCAAACAGUGCAGCAGCUGU
rnacentral:rRNA from 1 species